GAUGAACGCUGGCUACAGGCUUAACACAUGCAAGCCGAGGGGAAACGACGGGGAAGCUUGCUUCCCCGGGCGUCGACCGGCGCACGGGUGAGUAACGCGUAUCCAACCUGCCUCUGACUGAGGGAUAACCCGUCGAAAGUCGGCCUAAUACCUCAUGGCAUCGUCUGCGGGCAUCCAACGACGAUUAAAGAUUUCAUCGG
rnacentral:rRNA from 1 species